rnacentral:rRNA from 1 species
UACGUAGGGCGCAAGCGUUAUCCGGAAUUAUUGGGCGUAAAGAGCUCGUAGGCGGUUUGUCGCGUCUGCCGUGAAAGUCCGGGGCUCAACUGCAGGCUUGCAUUCGAUACGGGCAGGCUGGAGUUCGGUAGGGGAGACUGGAAUUCCUGGUGUAGCGGUGAAAUGCGCAGAUAUCAGGAGGAACACCGGUGGCGAAGGCGGGUCUCUGGGCCGAUACUGACGCUGAGACGCGAAAGCGUGGGGAGCGAACAGG